rnacentral:lncRNA from 1 species
UCCCUACAUUGUAAACUCAAAACUCAUCUAUCCUAAAGGAAGCGACUUAUGCAUCGAUUGGAUCAAUUACCAUCUCCAUGAUUAUCCUUUGAAUAGAAGUAUUUAAGAAUUAAUAAUUAAUGACACAUGCCUUAAAUUCUCAAUACUUGAAAAUAUGUGUCAUCAUCUUAUUAAUUCUUUGGAUGAUUCAUGGAUAUAAAAAUAUAACAUCAAUAUAAAAAUAAUUUAAUUUUAUUAAUUUUAAAAAUAUAAUUAUAAAAUUAUAUCCCUAGAAUAUUUACAAGUCUCAGUCUAAUUAGCUUCUAAGGCAUACACCUAACAUGGAGUGUAUUAAGUGGAUUAUAAUUUUUGAAUCUUUGAGGUAGAGAUAUAGAUUGGUGAUGUCUAGGUGAGGUCCUCAUUUGGUUGUCACGAGGAGGUGUCUC